GUGAGGAAUAUUGGUCAAUGGGCGGGAGCCUGAACCAGCCAAGUCGCGUGAAGGAAGAAGGAUCUAUGGUUCGUAAACUUCUUUUGCAGGGGAAUAAAGUGCAGGACGUGUCCUGUUUUGUAUGUACCCUGAGAAUAAGGAUCGGCUAACUCCGUGCCAGCAGCCGCGGUAAUACGGAGGAUCCGAGCGUUAUCCGGAGUUAUUGGGUUUAAAGGGUGCGUAGGUGGUUUGAUAAGUCAGCGGUGAAAGUUUGCAGCUUAACUGUAAAAAUGCCGUUGAAACUGUCGGACUUGAGUGUAAAUGAGGUAGGCGGAAUGCGUGGUGUAGCGGUGAAAUGCAUAGAUAUCACGCAGAACUCCGAUUGCGAAGGCAGCUUACUAAGCUACAACUGACACUGAAGCACGAAAGCGUGGGGAUCAAACAGGAUUAGAAACCCGAGUAGUCC
rnacentral:rRNA from 1 species